CUACCCAGAUAUUUGGCGGUGUGGGCAUUGCUUGUCUGCCAUUGGGACUUACUUUUCAUUCUUUCGGCGUCCAAAAACUGUUAUCACUCGUUCACAGUAUAUUAAGGAAGCAACUGAACUAGGUAAGAAGGCAAGAAAAUUGAAGAAAGCAGCUGAUGCGCUUCGUCAGGAGGAAAAGAGUGGCUCAAAGGGAAGGAAGUGGCGUAAAAAUGUAAAGGCAGUAGAAAAGAAUGGGAAGAUGGGAGGUUAAUGCCAACAAACUGCUAGCAACGAAGGAGUCUGCCCACAUGUAUGCUGAGCGCUUGACUGAACUAGCUACUGCUUUGGGAUUUGAUGGGUGGCUGGAAAAAUUAGCUCAUGGAUUGACCUGGAUUCAGAAGAUGAGAUACUCAGUGUUGAGUGCCAUUUCCUCAACUCACUUUCCUUUUGAUUUGUAUUCAAUCAAUGCCUUUUGUUCUAGGCAGGUCUUCCAAUCGUUGCAUAAGAAGCUUAUUGUUUUCACUAUUUGCAUUUCUCCUGCAGGCUUGUCUUCUUCCUACUCCUAAAGGAGCAUCCUGUGCUAAUUAUGCUAGAUGUGUGAAUCAGAUUCUACAGAAUCUGACCAACAUGCAGAGUGGAGGACAGGUCGAUUCUUGGGAAACAUGGAAUUCCUUCCGUCUUCUAUGUGAACAUCACAGUCAGUUGUUCAUUGCCCUUGAUGUUUUAAGUACUUAAAUGAUGUGAAGUUUCAGUGGUCAGUACUCCAGAACCACCAGUAAUUCUAUGGUUUGACACGUGACCAAUCUUUUCAUUGGGAGUUCACUGCCUUCAUCAAAUUCAAUUGGAAGAUGGUUUGGGGAAUCUGUUAGAGCAGCUAUAAUUCAUACCAGUUCUUUUCUAACAAAUGCUCGGG